rnacentral:misc_RNA from 1 species
GGAAAGUAAAAGUCGUAACAAGGUUUCCGUAGGUGAACCUGCGGAAGGAUCAUUACUGAGUGAGGGCCCCUCGGGGUCCAACCUCCCACCCGUGUUUAACGAACCUUGUUGCUUCGGCGGGCCCGCCUCACGGCCGCCGGGGGGCAUCUGCCCCCGGGCCCGCGCCCGCCGAAGCCACCUGUGAACGCUGUCUGAAGUAUGCAGUCUGAGACAAUUAUUAAAUUAAUUAAAACUUUCAACAACGGAUCUCUUGGUUCCG